rnacentral:lncRNA from 10 species
UUUAACACUCUCUGAGCCUAUAAUUCAUCUUUUCUGUAACCAAGGCUUUCACUGCAUAUUCCUGGUCAGCAGGCUCCAGAUUGUUCUACUCCUGAUGUCAGGAGGAAGCUGAUUUACCUUUGGAAUGAGAUAACCUCUGGGAUCCCUGAACAGUUAAAGGGCAGACGGAAAUAAGGCUUGGCAAUGAAGAUGGACAAGGAACAUAUGCCAGUGCACAUCUAUUAUAAGCCAUUUAUCCCAGACUGUGAUGCAAGUGUGCUUAAGUCUGAAAUGCAAGUGACUCGUACUUACAGGCAAAAUACAUUCCAGCUGAGGAAAAAAGGAUUUUUGUUGCUGAUUUAAUGGAGUGACAGCCUUUCAGAAGUCUUUAAAUUCACCAUUUUCACUGAUGUCACCCUGUUACCAGAAAGGAGUCCUAAUUCUGACCCCAAGAGAAGGUCCUUAAAUCUCGUGCAAGAAAGAUUUCAGGAUUCAAAGAAUUAGCUGGACUAUGUCUCCAGGUGGAUGACUCUAUGGAAACUUUGAGCUGUAUGGAACAACCUCCUGAUCAUCCAUUUACCUUGCUUUGGUACAUUAGGACUUUAAUAGAAACUGCCUAAUGUGCAGGAUGACACAGUAAAAAGGCCUCACAUGAUAGCAGCUCCUUGAUCUUGGACU